rnacentral:rRNA from 1 species
CGAGUUUGAUCCUGGCUCAGGAUCAACGCUGGCGGCGUGCCUAACGCAUGUAAGUCGCACGGGGUGCCUUCGGGUACCCAGUGGCGAACGGCUGAGGAACACGUACGAACCUGCCCUGCGCUGGGGAAUAACGCAGCGAAAGCUGUGCUAAUACCGCGUACGCUUGCCGAUAAGGUAAGGAAAGCCGCAAGGCGGCGCAGGAGGGGCGUGCGGCCCAUCAGAUAGUUGGCGGGGUAAUGGCCCACCAAGUCGGUGACGGGUCGCUGGUCUGUGAGGACGAUCAGCCAGACUGGGACUGCGAAACGGCCCAGACACCUACGGGUGGCAGCAGCGAGGAAUCUUCCACAAUGGGCGCAAGCCCGAUGGAGCAACGCCGCGUGGAGGACGACGGCCUUCGGGUUGUAAACUCCUUUCGGGGGGGAGGAAACGGACAGUACCCCCAGAAGCAGCCCCGGCUAACUCUGUGCCAGCAGCCGCGGUAAUACAGAGGGGGCAAGCGUUGUCCGGAAUUACUGGGCGUACAGCGUGCGCAGGCGGCCGUGUAUGUGCCGAGUGACAAGUCCGCGCUUAACGCGGAAGGGUCUCGGUAGACAGCAGGGCUGGAGGCCUUGAGAGGGAAGUGGAAUGCCCGGUGGAGCGGUGAAAUGCGUAGAGAUCGGGCGGAACACCAGGGGCGCAGGCGGCUUCCUGGCAAGGACCUGACGCUGAGGCACGAAAGCGUGGGGAGCGAACGGGAUUAGAUACCCCGGUAGUCCACGCCCUAAACGAUGUGGACCCGGUGCUGGGCGGUGAUUGCGCUGCCCGGUGCCCCAGCUUACGCGAUGAGUCCACCGCCUGGGGAGUACGGCCGCAAGGCUAAAACUCAAAGGAAUUGACGGGGCCCCGCACAAGCGGCGGAGCAUGCGGAUUAAUUCGAUGCAACGCGUAGAACCUUACCUGGGUUUGACAUGGAUCGGGAGCGCUCAGAGAUGGGUGUGCCUCUUUUGGGGUCGGUUCACAGGUGGUGCAUGGCUGUCGUCAGCUCGUGUCGUGAGAUGUUGGGUUAAGUCCCGCAACGAGCGCAACCCUUGCCCCGUGUUACAUGUGUCACGGGGGACUGCCGUGGUGUUACCACGGAGGAAGGCGGGGAUGACGUCAAGUCCGCAUGGCCCCGACGCUUAGGGCUACACACACGCUACAAUGAGCAGCGGAGCGCGUUGCGACCGUGCAAGCGGAAGCUAAUCGCCAAGGCUGUGCGUAGUGCAGAUUGGGGGCUGCAACUCGCCCCCAUGAAGACGGAGUUGCUAGUAACCGCGUGUCAGCAAAGCGCGGUGAAUACGUACCCGGGCCUUGUACACACCGCCCGUCACGUCAUGGGAGUCGGGAACACCUGAAGUCCGUGGGCCGACCCUGCUGCAAGGUAGGGAGGCAGCGGCCGAGGGUGGGCCUGGCGACUGGGACGAAGUCGUAACAAGGUAGCCGUACCGGAAGGUGCGGCUG